CCUACGGGGGGCUGCAGUGGGGGAUAUUGCACAAUGGGGGGAACCCUGAUGCAGCGACGCCGCGUGGGUGAAGGAGCGCCUCGGCGCGUAAAGCCCUGUCGGCAGGGAAGAAGAUGACGGUACCUGGACAAGAAGCCCCGGCUAACUACGUGCCAGCAGCCGCGGUAAUACGUAGGGGGCAAGCGUUAUCCGGAUUUACUGGGUGUAAAGGGGGCGCAGACGGCAAUGCAAGCCAGGAGUGAAAGCCCGGGGCCCAACCCCGGGACUGCUCUUGGAACUGCGUGGCUGGAGUGCAGGAGGGGCAGGCGGAAUUCCUAGUGUAGCGGUGAAAUGCGUAGAUAUUAGGAGGAACACCGGUGGCGAAGGCGGCCUGCUGGACUGUGACUGACGUUGAGGCCCGAAAGCGUGGGGAGCAAACAGGAUUAGAUACCCUUGUAGUC
rnacentral:rRNA from 1 species